UACGUAGGGUGCGAGCGUUGUCCGGAAUUAUUGGGCGUAAAGAGCUCGUAGGCGGUCUGUUGCGUCGGCUGUGAAAACCCGAGGCUCAACCUCGGGCCUGCAGCCGAUACGGGCAGACUAGAGUUCGGCAGGGGAGACUGGAAUUCCUGGUGUAGCGGUGAAAUGCGCAGAUAUCAGGAGGAACACCGGUGGCGAAGGCGGGUCUCUGGGCCGAUACUGACGC
rnacentral:rRNA from 1 species